CGGGGAGUAGCUCAGCUUGGUAGAGCACAUGGUUUGGGACCAUGGGGUCGCAGGUUCGAAUCCUGUCUUCCCGACCA
rnacentral:tRNA from 2 species